rnacentral:rRNA from 1 species
UACGUAGGGACCAAGCGUUGUCCGGAUUUAUUGGGCGUAAAGAGCUCGUAGGCGGCCCUCCACGUCGGAUGUGAAAGCUCAGGGCUCAACCCUGGGAUGCCAUUCGAUACGGGAAGGCUAGAGGUAGGUAGGGGAAAGUGGAAUUCCUGGUGUAGCGGUGAAAUGCGCAGAUAUCAGGAGGAACACCGGUGGCGAAGGCGGGUCUCUGGGCCGAUACUGACGCUGAGGAGCGAAAGCGUGGGGAGCAAGCAGG